rnacentral:rRNA from 1 species
UGGGGAAUAUUGGACAAUGGGGGCAACCCUGAUCCAGCCAUGCCGCGUGUGUGAAGAAGGCCUUCGGGUUGUAAAGCACUUUCAGUGGGGAGGAAGGCCUGUUGGCUAAUACCCAUCAGGAUUGACGUUACCCACAGAAGAAGCACCGGCAAACUCCGUGCCAGCAGCCGCGGUAAUACGGAGGGUGCGAGCGUUAAUCGGAAUUACUGGGCGUAAAGCGCACGUAGGCGGCCUGUUAAGCUGGAUGUGAAAGCCCCGGGCUCAACCUGGGAAUGGCUUCCAGAACUGGCAGGCUAGAGUACGGUAGAGGUGAGUGGAAUUUCCUGUGUAGCGGUGAAAUGCGUAGAUAUAGGAAGGAACACCAGUGGCGAAGGCGGCUCACUGGACUGGUACUGACGCUGAGGUGCGAAAGCGUGGGGAGCAAACAGG